GAGGGUAUAGCUUAGUGGUAGAGUGCAUGCCUAGCAUGCACAAGGUCCUGGGUUCAAUCCUCAGUACCUCCA
rnacentral:tRNA from 1 species